AUUUCGUUAGGCUUUGCUGAUUACAAAUGAGAAGAUGCUGUGUUAGCUCCUCCUCCAGUGGUUUGUCUGCUACUUAUAGCCACAGUCCUCUCCCCUUCCUCCAUCAGUGGGGUUACCACUGUGCUCCUGUCUAGGAAACAAGAAAGGCGGUGCCUUCACCAAGAAGUAAGGCUAAAUUGCAAGCUUUAGGUGGACCUUAUUCAAAUGGCUCAACAGCCCAGCCCAAGAGCCCUGGGUCCCCCUGGGGAAGAGGAUGUUGCACCAGACAGCCAAACCCAACUACAGCCUGUCAGACCUCGGCCAGUUAGAUCCCGGAGAAGAAGGCGUAGGCAGGCAGCUCCUGCAUCCCGAGAAGAAGAUGAACCUAGGACCUUUCAAGUCUACAAAUUUAGCAGUCGUGCUCCACCUGUGAGUGGGCAUGGUAGUGGUGGAAGCUCUCGGACUCCUGCACUGCCUGAUGAUGGAAAUGUUAUGGGAAUGAUGGCUAGGUCUGCCAGAUACUGGGUGAAGCGAGAACCUCCUCAAUGUUGGGUCAGAGGCUGCACCUGUGCUUGUUCAGAGACUGAUCUAGAAGAAGGUCAUCCUUCUAGAUCUAGGCCACAUCAUCUAGGUGAAGACAACAGCUCGACCUCCAUGAUUAGAGGGGAAUUAUUUUCAGAGGAUGAAGACAAUGAUGGGAACACUGGGACAGCCAGCUCUUGGGCUGGUGUUAGAAGUGAUGAUCAUCCCAGGAGUUUUGCAGAGGAGUAUUCACUGGUUCCCUUAAGCAGACGAAAGCAGUACUCUGCCCAGACUUUUCAUGAGGCAGUAGAAAGAUUUUUAAGAGGGUUCUGAGCUUUGGCACAUCUGUUUUGAAUUUGGGAGCCAAAUCUGUGGAGAUGCAAAUGCCUGUCAUCAUGUGCACCGUUUAUUGUAACACAGGCUGAAGCUGGCAAAAAAGCCAUGAAGGUUCAAAUAGAGCAAUAUACUGAGCUUUACUAUUAGAUUGACAGACAAAGUUAUUUGCAUUCCAGUUUUGUCUCCUUGAUAUGUGUUGCUGUCGUCUUCAGGAGCUUAAAAACCUUUAGCAAUCAUAAGGCAUUAAAAAUGGGAAAAUUACUUUGAGUCUAAGCUAAUGUAAUGAUUAUUUAUUUUGCAAUUUAAAGUUAUAGAGGCAAAAUGCAGCCUUUUUUUGAAUUUCUCAGCAGUGGAGGCUCUUCUAUUUAAUAACUGCUUGAAGGAUAUUUGGAAUUCAAAGCUUUUGUUUAUUCCAGUAUUUCCUUUCACUAAAUGCUUUAAUUUACUCUAUAGAGGCCUAGAGGGUUUGGUAUUUUUAUUGGUGUGUUUUUUCUUUAACUUGAUCUAAAUCUAAAAAUUGUAUUCUACUGCAUAUGUUUGAUUAUUCAUAUAUAAGCAGUUAUGUAUGAUAAUGUGAGAUAGCUAGAGCACAAUCUGCUUAAAAAAAAUCUCACACCCUUCAGCUGUUAAUUUGUCACAUGAAUUAAAAAUUAAAAAAAAUAAAAAUGUGUUCUGAGGAACUUACCA
rnacentral:lncRNA from 1 species